rnacentral:rRNA from 1 species
UACGUAGGGGGCAAGCGUUGUCCGGAAUCAUUGGGCGUAAAGAGCGCGUAGGCGGCCCGAUAAGUCCGCUGUGAAAGUCAAGGGCUCAACCCUUGAAUGCCGGUGGAUACUGUCGGGCUAGAGUCCGGAAGAGGCGAGUGGAAUUCCUGGUGUAGCGGUGAAAUGACGCAGAUAUCAGGAGGAACACCAAUGGCGAAGGCAGCUCGCUGGGGACGGUACUGACGCUGAGGAGCGAAAAGCGUGGGGAGCGAACAGG